rnacentral:rRNA from 1 species
GAUGAACGCUGGCUACAGGCUUAACACAUGCAAGUCGAGGGGAAACGACGGGGAAGCUUGCUUCCCCGGGCGUCGACCGGCGCACGGGUGAGUAACGCGUAUCCAACCUGCCUCUGACUGAGGGAUAACCCGUCGAAAGUCGGCCUAAUACCUCAUGGUAUCGUCUGCGGGCAUCCAACGACGAUUAAAGAUUUCAUCGGUCAGGGAUGGGGAUGCGUCUGAUUAGCUUGUUGGCGGGGUAACGGCCCACCAAGGCUACGAUCAGUAGGGGUUCUGAGAGGAAGGUCCCCCACAUUGGAACUGAGACACGGACCAAACUCCUACGGGAGGCAGCAGUGAGGAAUAUUGGUCAAUGGGCGAGAGCCUGAACCAGCCAAGUAGCGUGCAGGAAGACGGCCCUAUGGGUUGUAAACUGCUUUUAUGCGGGGAUAAAGUGAGGGACGUGUCACUCAUUGCAGGUACCGCAUGAAUAAGGACCGGCUAAUUCCGUG